UAUUCCAUCUUUAAAGAAAAGUGGUCUCUCUUACCCUCUAAGUUAAAAAAUUUACACACUCUACACCUUCACCUGCUUUACUCUCUCUCUUUCUCAACUUCUAUAUCAAAGGGAGGGAGAUGCAAUAUAUCUUGAUGUUAAAAACACCAUGAUUGUUAUAAGCUCAUCGUCAUCCAUUCGUUUCGACUGCCCAAUAUUCGAUAUUGGACAAGACAUCUAGAGCAGUAGUUUACGUAGAAGAGGUAGAAAGAGUGUCAUGGGGAGGAACAACAGUGUGGUUUUCAGGGUGCUAGUAUUAGUUUGCGUUUUUUUGUUAUUCGGUGUUUCCAUAAUCACACAAGGUGCAAUUCCACCCACUCAAAGUGUUAGUUUUGCCAUGUCAAAAGGAGAAGCAACAAGGCACAAGGGGUUGGUUCUUAAUUAUGUCAGCAAAAGAAGAGUACCAAAUGGACCUGAUCCUAUUCACAAUAGGAAAAUUUCCAACACAAGACAACCUCCGGAACGAGUCUAGGAUUGACUUGGAAGACUCGCGUAUGGAAAUAGGUCCGGAAACCAAAGUAGAAUUGCAAGAAGUUUCUGUGGAUCUUGAAAUCAGUCAAAUUAAUGUUACAUUGUUGAGAUAGUGAUCAUGAUGAUAUUUGAUCAUCUUUUUGUGUCUGGAUGAAUUCACUUUUUUAAAGGGUAAUGAUGGGUGUCUUUGUAUGUAGUAGUUGUUCAAAGUUUGAAUAGUAAGAUUCAUGAUUUGUGAUGUUUAGUUUUAGAUGAAAAGGAAUGAAAUCUAA